rnacentral:tRNA from 2 species
GUUCCCAUCGACUAGCGGUCAGGUCACCACCCUUUCACGGUGGCAGCACGGGUUCGAAUCCCGUUGGGAACGCCA